rnacentral:lncRNA from 1 species
GAAAUCGUCAUACUAGUUGGAGCUGGAUCAUCAAGGUGUGGGGAGAAAGCCACAGGGAGCUGAAAAGUUUCCUUGCCAAUACUGAAUGUAGUCCAUCCUCUCCGCUCCUCAUCUGCCUGAAGGUGGAGACAAGGGGAAAGAUGAAGAGAAAGGCAGGUGGUUACAAUAGAAAUCUAAGCAACCGAAGACUCUUCUACUUACCCCUGGCAAUUGAUGAUAUGCUCCGAAGA